UACGGGGGGAGCAAGCGUUGUUCGGAUUUACUGGGCGUAAAGGGCGCGUAGGCGGCCAGCACAAGUCAGUUGUGAAAUCUCCGGGCUUAACUCGGAAAGGUCAACUGAUACUGUGCGGCUAGAGUGCAGAAGGGGCAACUGGAAUUCUCGGUGUAGCGGUGAAAUGCGUAGAUAUCGAGAGGAACACCUGUGGCGAAGGCGGGUUGCUGGGCUGACACUGACGCUGAUGCGCGAAAGCCAGGGGAGCGAACGGG
rnacentral:rRNA from 1 species